rnacentral:rRNA from 1 species
AUACGGAGGGUGCGAGCGUUAAUCGGAAUUACUGGGCGUAAAGCGUGCGUAGGCGGUUUGUUAAGCAAGAUGUGAAAGCCCAGGGCUCAACCUUGGAACUGCAUUUUGAACUGGCAAACUAGAGUACUGUAGAGGGUGGUGGAAUUUCCAGUGUAGCGGUGAAAUGCGUAGAGAUUGGAAGGAACAUCAGUGGCGAAGGCGGCCACCUGGACAGAUACUGACGCUGAGGCACGAAAGCGUGGGGAGCAAACAGGAUUAGAAACCCCAGUAGUCC